rnacentral:rRNA from 1 species
UUAUGGCUCAGAGUGAACGCUGGCGGCGUGCUUAACACAUGCAAGUCGAACGAGCAAGAGUCGUAGUAAUACGAAGUUCUGCUAGUGGCAAACGGGUGAGUAAUACAUAGGAAUCUACCUUGCAGCGUGGAAUAACCAUUGGAAACGAUGGCUAAUACCGCAUAUUGCCUGAGGGUGAAAGAUUUAUCACUGCAAGAUGAGCCUAUGCAAGAUUAGCUAGUUGGUGGGGUAAAGGCCUACCAAGGCAAAGAUCUUUAGCUGGUCUAAGAGGAUGAUCAGCCACACUGGAACUGAGACACGGUCCAGACUCCUACGGGAGGCAGCAGUGAGGAAUAUUGGACAAUGGGCGAAAGCCUGAUCCAGCGACGCCGCGUGAGUGAUGAAGGCCUUAGGGUUGUAAAGCUCUUUCAGUGGGAAAGAUAAUGACGGUACCCACAGAAGAAGCCCCGGCUAACUUCGUGCCAGCAGCCGCGGUAAUACGAAGGGGGCUAGCGUUACUCGGAAUUAUUGGGCGUAAAGCGUGCGUAGGCGGCUUGUUAAGUUGGAAGUGAAAGCCCAGGGCUCAACCUUGGAAUUGCUUUCAAAACUAAUAAGCUAGAGUGUCAGAGAGGAUAGCGGAAUUCCUAGUGUAGAGGUGAAAUUCGUAGAUAUUAGGAGGAACACCGGAGGCGUAAGCGGCUAUCUGGCUGAAUACUGACGCUGUUGCACGAAAGCGUGGGUAGCAAACAGGAUUAGAUACCCUGUAGUCCACGCAGUAAACGAUGAGUGCUAAAUAUCGGGACUAGAUCUCGGUGUUACAGCUAACGCGUUAAGCACUCCGCCUGGGAAGUACGGUCGCAAGAUCAAAACUCAAAGGAAUU